CUCCAUCGUAGGGCUUGAACCCACGUCCACAAGGUUAAGAGUCUUGUACUUUACCAAUUGCGCAAUGGA
rnacentral:tRNA from 1 species